AUCUAAAUUUUCGUUUCUCACACUAAGCAGGCAUCGAAAGUCCAAAAUCCUGUCGCCAUGGCAAUGAAUGCCUUCUUGUUCUCUAUGCAUUAUUUCCCUCUCAAACCCACACUCAACACGUUCUCAUCUCUCUCUCCUCCACCCAUUCGUUCCCAACUGACUCCUCCUCCAGUUCAGCCACGAAAGCCCACUUAUGGCUUCCUUCAGAAUCCAAAAACCAUGGUGGGUUUACUCGGAGCGGGCUUGACCCUGACCCUUAUGGGGCCCGCUUCGGCUACUGAGUUACCGUUUCUGGGUUCUUUUCAACUCAGUGAACCCUCCAACGCCCUUUCUCUUCCCACUUGGGCCGUACAUGUUUCCAGUGUGGUUGAAUGGAUUACAGCAAUGGCUUUGGUGUGGCAAUACGGAGAAAUAUCUGGGAAUGAAUCUUGGAAGGGCCUUUCUUGGGGUAUGGUACCCCUGCUAGGUGGAGCAUUUUGUGCUUGCACAUGGCAUUUCUUUUAUAACUCUGAGUCUCUUGAGGUAUUGGUUGCUCUCCAAGCAGCCUUGACAGUUAUAGGCAAUGCCACAAUGUGUUUAGCUGCAUUUCGGAUAUGCAAAUCAUCAGAAGAGCGUUCCAAGGAGCUAUGAACAAGUUCAUCUAUCUGUAUCCUAAAACACAUGAUGAAUUGCUUUACUUCAAAUGGAUUGGGAAAAUGACACAGCAGAAGGCUUCCUUUUGAACUCUGUGAAUAAGCUGAUGGCUUCAAGUUGAAAGAUUUAGUUUUCGUCCUCAUCUAAAAGGAGACACCCUUCUUUUGUUUUGCUACUAGUGAAAUGUUGAAGUAGUCUUUCAGUUAUAUAAUUAUAUGAAUAUAUAUAUAUAUAGACCUGUACAUUGGAGCUUUCCCAAUUCAUUUAAUAGUGAGAGGAUUCGUGUGAAGCUUCUCGUGGUUGGAUAAACAUAUGUAUAACACUAGAAUCUUAUCUCACAUUGGUCUUAGCUCCA